CUUGGUCAUUUAGAGGAAGUAAAAGUCGUAACAAGGUUUCCGUAGGUGAACCUGCGGAAGGAUCAUUAUUGAAUUAAACUGAAGCAAGUUGUUGCUGGCCCUUUGGGGCAUGUGCACGCUUGCUCUCAUUUAACCACCUGUGCACAUAUUGUAGACUUUGGGAUGAUCUUCAAGCUUUCAUUAGCUUGGUUUGAGGAUUUGCAUUAGCUUUCCUUGUAUUCCUAGUCUAUGUUUUCAUAUACCCCCAAUGUAUGUUUUAGAAUGUUAUUAAUGGGCCUUUAAAAGCCUCUAAAUUAAUACAACUUUCAACAACGGAUCUCUUGGCUCUCGCAUCGAUGAAGAACGCAGCGAAAUGCGAUAAGUAAUGUGAAUUGCAGAAUUCAGUGAAUCAUCGAAUCUUUGAACGCACCUUGCGCUCCUUGGUAUUCCGAGGAGCAUGCCUGUUUGAGUGUCAUUAAAUUCUCAACCUCUUCAUUUUGUUUUACAACUUUGAAUUGGCUUGGAUAUGGGAGUUGCGGGCUUCUAAGCAAGUCAGCUCUUCUUAAAUGCAUUAGCAGAACUUUUGUUGACCAUUAUUGGUGUGAUAAUUAUCUACGCCAUUUGAUGUGAAGCAGUUUAUAUAGAGUUCAGCUUCUAACUGUCUAUUCACUUGGACAAUUUAUUGACUAUUUGACCUCAAAUCAGGUAGGACUACCCGCUGAACUUAAGCAUAUCAAUAAGCGGAGGAAAAGAAACUAACAAGGAUUCCCCUAGUAACUGCGAGUGAAGCGGGAAAAGCUCAAAUUUAAAAUCUGGUGGUCCUUGUGGCCAUCCGAGUUGUAAUCUAGAGAAGUGUUAUCCGCGCUGGACCGUGUACAAGUCUCCUGGAAUGGAGCGUCAUAGAGGGUGAGAAUCCCGUCUUUGACACGGACUACCAGGGCUUUGUGAUGCGCUCUCAAAGAGUCGAGUUGUUUGGGAAUGCAGCUCAAAAUGGGUGGUAAAUUCCAUCUAAAGCUAAAUAUUGGCGAGAGACCGAUAGCGAACAAGUACCGUGAGGGAAAGAUGAAAAGAACUUUGGAAAGAGAGUUAAACAGUACGUGAAAUUGUUGAAAGGGAAACGCUUGAAGU
rnacentral:rRNA from 1 species